UACGGAGGGUGCAAGCGUUGUUCGGAAUUAUUGGGCGUAAAGGGCGCGUAGGCGGGUGUGUAAGUCAAUUGUGAAAUCCCCGGGCUCAACCUGGGAAUGGCGGUUGAUACUGCAUAUCUUGAGUGCUUGAGAGGGUGGUGGAAUUCCGGGUGUAGAGGUGAAAUUCGUAGAUAUCAGGAGGAACACCGGAGGCGAAGGCGGCCACCUGGCGAGACACUGACGCUGAGGCGCGAAAGCAUGGGGAGCAAACAGG
rnacentral:rRNA from 1 species